rnacentral:lncRNA from 1 species
CGUUGUCUAUGUAUGAUCGAAUGUGUCUCAUUUCUCUCUGGAGCCAAUCGAUGUCUUCUUUCAACCAAUAUAAACGCGUUCCUUCUUGAAAGAGUACAUUUCCAGCUAUUUCAACAGAUUUAUUGAUGACUGCUGUGAGAAGAAUUUCAGCCAUUUCUUUUUCAGUAGCUACAAAAAAUUGAUCAGAAUGAGUAAUUAGAAAGAAGAAGAUAAUUGGUAAAGGAAAAGAAAGGUAAGCUUAGAAUAGUUGGAGUCAACUGCCAAGUCUCCUAAUAAUGUCAAGUAAAUGAAAAACGAAAGAAGAAAGGAACAACACAUGCUCUGGAUAAGAAACUGGUUGAAUAGUCAAAGGAAAUAACACCGUUCGUUCCAAUUUAAAUGUCAUUCUAUUUAAUUCGAUAUAGAAUUUAAGAAACAAACAGUGACUUUUAAUAUUUUGUGGCGGAUUAUUGAUAAUGUACCUUUUUAAAAAAAAAAUUACGUAACUAAGCAAACAUCUUUAGACAGUGGCGUACGCAAGAUAUUUCAUAAGAGGUGUCACAUUUUAAAAUAAAAAUAAAUAAUUAAAAAAUUAAGAUUUAUUUUAGCAUUUUUAUGUGUGUAGCGAAAUAUAUUUAAAUUAAAAAAAUUAACCAAGAAAGAAAAAGGCGGUAUUGAUGUUCGAACACCCAACUUCAAACCAGAAGAUAAGUACCCUAACCUACUGAGCUACGCUCCUAUUUGGUUUAAGGAGUGUCACUUUAUUGUAUUUGUUCUUUGUUUACAAUUUGCUUUCCAAUUAUUUAGAAUUAUUUAAUAAAAAAAUUCGACGAAGCCGUGUCAUGUGACACACCUUCGCCUAAGGUAAAUCCGCCCUGUCUUUAGUAUAUAACUAUCAAUCACACCAUAUGUUAAAAAAAUGUAUUAUAUAUCUAGACGCCAUUUUAUGUUUCCUAACUGUUUGAUGAACGUCUUGCAAAACUUUGCCCAAUUUGGUUCAUGGCUGUGAGUUUGGGCUAUUAUGAGAUUCAAUUUGUAUGUUCCAUGAAAAUUAGGCUUUUAUGCAAUUUGACUCUCUCAAAAUCUUUUGCCAUACUCAUACAGAGUGGGCGUUCGGUUUGAUAUUUAUUUAACUUUGAUUUGAUUUGGUCGUGAGAUAUCAUCAUAAUGACUCGAGUAGAAUGGUCGGAAUUUCUUCACUUUUCUGAUAAGGAGUGUUCUGUUCUAAAUUUACUAAUUCGACUAAUUCAAAUUUGUAUCACGUAAUACUGAUUUGAGAAAGAAAUACUUUUUAUCCAAAAAAAAAUCAUUUUCAGAGCUCGAAUUGAUUUUUUUUUUUGGUUUCAUUACGUGUAAUUUUCAAGUCCUUGUGGUAUCACAACACAGGUUAGGAUAUUUGGAGGUUAUUUCACAAGGACUUACAACAAGAAAAGAAAAAAAAAAGAUAUAAUUUGAGGAAAAUAUGAAAGUCUUGCAUUAAAGUUAAAAAAAAAGUAGUAGUUGUUUGCUCGUGAAGUUCAAAUAUUUUUCACUAAAAUUUAUAGAAUUGAAAUUGAAAAUAGAGUUAGGUUUAAAUUAUUUUUUUCUUGCGAAUGAAAGAACCGAACGAUUGGAGAUUGGAGAAUUUUACCAUCAAACUGCUUUUGAAAUAAAGUGAAAAAUUAUUUCGAAAAAAAAUAUAAAUAAUUCACAUAACAUCCUAAAAUAGCUUUCUCAAUCUCGACAAUUGCUCAUUUAUAAACUACGGAAAAUGGUCAAAAUUGCCCCUGCACUAUGUGAAAUAGACCACUUAUACCCUCCGUUAUAUUUUACGAUAAAAAAUGCCCGGUGUUAUCCUAAGAGACCACAAUUACCCUUAAGACUUAACAGAAAUGAUGCGGCAAGCCACAUGACACUAAUUCCGCCACCUAGGCUUGCCAACUAGGAUACUCACUAAAUUUUUUGACCCAAUUAAUAAUUCAACCCUAACCCAUUUUUGUUGGACCCAACCCACUAAAAUUAAGAGGGAAACAUCAUCUUUUUUUCACCUCAUUCCGUUUUACUAUUAAAUUCACCAAGGACGAUUUUUUGAAGACUUUUACGAGCUUAGCUUACUUGGACCAUGAUUGUGUGCCGCCAUAGAUUUAAAAACUAUGCUCUGGCACCAUUCUAUGCUUAGAAAGCUUGGGCUUGUGUUUUAUGUGGCUUUCCAAAAAAAUUUUGAGAAGCUCCACUUUUGUGAUGAUUAUACCCCACAACCACAAGUUUCUACGUUUUUAGCUUGUCGUCUAGCGGAUUAGCACUACGACAAAUAUAGGAGGGUGAUUGAUAAAAUGUGAAUACAAGAUUAUAAACAUGUAGGGGCAUAUCAAUGUUGCAUCCAUUUGUCUCUUACAGUGAUGAAUUUCAAUGAUUUUGGUUAUAAAGUAUAACACCAUAGAACCAUAAAGUUAAAUUUUCAAGCUUAUGUAUCUUUUCUAGUCCAUUGUGUCAUUAGAUUUUAAAGCUAGCAUUCCUAAGGUAGAGAUGUAAGGUAAACAAAAUAUUUUGCAGGCAAGAGAAACAAAUUAUAUAAAAAUCUUUUGCUUCCCCUGCUUAUUUACAACUAAUUUAUCAAUGAGUUAUUACUUUAAUUUCUUCCCUGGUUUUUUAUAACUUCAUCAAUGUACAUAUAUAUAUAUAUACUUUUGCCUUCAUAAACUUUGGGAGGUUUACAACUCCUUAAAAAAACAGCAAAUUGUUGUACCUUCUCCUCGUUAAUACUGGGUUUGAAACAGAACAUGUGGACUGCAGAUGGAACGGUUAGUUCAACCUCAUGGCUACAACCAAGCUUGAAGUAUAUAGAAGGUUUUGUCCUUACGAUUUGGACAAUAUUCAAAACUUUCAAAAUCUUUCAUCAUGACAAAACAUUAAGGAGUGAGUACGUUCUGGUUGUUGGCAUGUGAUUAAGAGGUUAGUAUGGAUCGAGUUUUGAAAAUAGACUCUUACAAAAAAUACUAAUAAAAUUACAUAUAAUAGAUUCUUGUGAUCCAUCUCUUCUUUGGACUCCGCAUAUAACCGGAAUUUAGUACACAUGGUUAAUAAGUUAUUUAUUUUUUUAUUAUCUUUUUGCAUAAUUGAGAUGCCACUUUUGCUCAUUUUAUAUUCCCUGCUAGUAGAAUUUAAGAAGGUUUACAUGAUUUAUCCACUCUUACAAUCCUAUAUUUCAAGACCUGUAUUAUUUUUAUUGACUAAACAUGGAUAAUGAUAACUACUGUCAAUACUAUUAAAAAUGUUUUCCACGUUAGAGUUGUGGGUUCGAGAAUAGCAGGCUUUAAAUUUGGUAGUUGGAGAAAUGCAUUGCAAGUUAUUUAUAAUGUGGUUCUAUCGUCUACAUUGAGGUGUGAAUAAUUUUGCAAUAAAUUAUUCUAUCCGUUUAUUUUAACUUAUUACAUUUCGUUUUGAGAUUCAAACUAUAUGAAUUUGGAUCAAUAUUUUAAGAUGAAUAAUUUUGCAAUAAAUUAUUACAUCCGUUUAUUUCAACUUAUUACGUUUCAUUUUUUGAGAGUCAAACUAUAUGAACUUUGAUUAACAUUUUAAGAUGAAUAUUUUUGCAAUUAAUUAUUCUAUCCUUUUAUUUUAACUUAUUACGUUUCGUUUUUUGAGAGUUAAAUGAUAUAUAUAUGAACUUUGAGAUGUAUUUUUUCAUCAUAUUAAUAUGAGAAAGAUUGAUCAUAUAUAGUUUUUAAAUAUUUAAAUUUAAAAUUUAAAAUAUUGAGUGAAUUUUAUUCAAUUUGACUCUCAAAGUUAAUCAAAUUAACUCUCAUGAAACAUGACAAAUAAAUCCAUUUUCUUGGUUUUCCACCCGGUACUCACAUCCAAAUCGUUCCACGCAUAUUCAGAAUUAUGGAGUAUUAAAUGAAAUAUUUAGUUCAUGAACUAACUAGUACAAAUUUUUUAAAAUCACCUUAUCGAGCAUAUUAAAUGUAAAUAGUUAACGCAGUAAACUAACCUGUGAGAUUUUCAUAUUCUCAGCUUUGCAAGCCGUUUGGAAAGACUUAUUAGGGAACGGAGUCUUACAAGUAAUAGCAAUAUUGCCGAGAUCACCAAAUGCAUUGUGCUCGGUGUGAGAGGUUGCAUGAAAUUUCUUAGUCUAGCAUUUCUCAUUUGUAUAUCUUUUACGAUUCUAUCUAUUAAUGAUUUUUGUAUAUAUUUGAUUGACAUAUUUCUAUAUUUUCCAACCCAUAGGUAUUUGUAUAAUAUUUUAUAUUUAUGCAAAUCAUCAUAUAAGCAAGAAAUCCGAAUCAAAGAGUAAAUAUAUCAAAAUUUUCAAAAAGAUACCAUACAUACACCACAAAUAAGGUCUACUUUUUUCUAUUGAGAAUAAGAUUUUAAUUUUAUUACUCCAUUAAUUAAAGAUAAAUAAACAUAAAACAAAACAAAGAGAAAUACAGUAUUAAUUUGUUUUUACAAAUCACAAGCAAUUAACUUGAAACAGCAAUCAAACUUUUUCUCUUAUUAUUAGUAUUAUAAUACCAACAGGCAUCAGAAGAUUCUCUCCAACACAGACUUAAAUCAUUUUCAAAGGCAUCCCUGCAAUUUAUUAGAGAUGGAAUAUUUAGUUGAUGAACUAAAUACAAAUUUCAAAAAAUCAUGGAUAUUAAACGUAAAUAAUUAUUUAUAGUACCUGUGAGAUUUUUAUAUUCUCAACAUUGCAAGCCGUUCCGAGACCCUGAGACUAAUUGGGGAAUAAAUGAAUGGGCCUUGUACAAGUAAUAGCUUUUUCAAUUUAGGCAUACUCAUAUCAUCCAUGCACGUUACUUCAGACAACCCUUGUGCAUCCUCAAUAUGUAAAACUUCAAGUUGCGGAAAGCUAUCACCAGAGAGAUCCAUUUUUUCUGCAUCAUGUCUGCACCUAAGCAAUGUAAGUAUCCUUAAUUUGGGCAAUUUCUUAAGCACUGCCAAUAGAUGACCGUCUACCAUCAAGCCGACAAGAGUAAGCUUGACAAGAUUUGGAGGGAAUGCUUCAAUGUUCAAGAGCAUUGCUCUGGAACCAAACAAAACCAAUUUGACAAUAUUUGGAUGGGACGACAAGUUUAUUUGCUCACUCGUGUUCUUGAAAAUUCUGAGCUUCAGAACCUCCAACGCUUUAGGCACAGGGCUCAAUGCUGAUAAUAUCUUAAUGGUAGAACCGGAUACAUCCUUUAUACACAAUGUUCUUAAAUUUAUCAAUCGGUGCAACAAUCUCGGUUCACAAAAUUUAUCAUCCACCCACAUCAAAGUUUGUAGAUUAUUACGAGGCAAUGAGUACACGUUUGGAAAAAAUGGGUUUAUACAAAAGUAAUUGUAAGGUGCUAGAUUAUAACCUAUAGAACGAAGAUGUCUCAAUUGUGUAGACUUCCAAACACCAGUAGGAAGUUUAAUAAAGAAGCUUUUACCAAUAUCUAGGGUCUCUAGAUGUUUGAGCUUCACCAUACAAUUUGGCAGUUUCCCAUUGCACGAAGCUUCUCAAGCUUAGUAUUUGAACGGAAGAACUCAUUCAUGGCAUUAUUAUCAGAGUAGAAUGUAAUCCUUCGCACCCUAGCAACAUUGCUGGGAUCACCAAAUGCAUUGUGCUCGGUGUGAAAGAAGUUACUUUCCUUAGCCAAAUCCACACACAAACUAUGUAACAAGUCAUGUAUGCGACAACUUGAAAUUCUUCCAUCAUAUGUCCUUUCGACAACUUGAAUCAAGUUUCUAGAAACCAAAUCAUUUAGGAUAUCCUCUGCCAAACUUUCAGCCUCUCGCCUAUUACCACUAUAGUUUACAACUAUCAACUUCUCAGCAAUCCACAUAUUUGUCAGAUCAAAAGCACGAAUUUCAUGGUCCUCGGGGUAAAGGCCAAAAUACAAGAAACAUGGCCUUAAUGCAAUUGGCAAAUCAUUGUAACUCAGAGCCAAUACCUUAGCACAUCCAUCUUGAAUUUUAUGACCCAUACUCUCAAGUACUCUGUUCCAUGCACGUUCUGUUCUUUCUCUUGCCCUUAACAUGCCUGCGGUCACCUCAAUGGCUAGAGGUAUACCUCCACAUCUUCCAACUAUACUUCUACCAAUAUCUACCAAGUCUGGUGAAGCAUUGGCCCAAUUAUUAUUGUUAUCAAAAGUAAAGAUUUUCUUGGUAAAGAGUUCAAAACUGUUUUCCGAAUCUAGAGGUUGCAACACGUGUAUUGAGAAAUCCCCUCCUAUGUAUCUGCCUACAUUACUAUUUCGAGAGGUUAUAAUUAUCCUACUGCCAAUUUUUGAAUCACAUUCAGGAAGGACAAGUUUUAGAUCAUCCCAAAUUUCAACAUCCCAAAUGUCAUCUAAGAGAAUAACAUACCUUUUUAUUUUCAAGAGUGAUCGUAGGUUGUUCUCCAAGUUUUCUUUCCUUUCCUCUUCCAUCAGUCCAACUUGUUUGGCUAUGUCAUGUAAGAUUUCUCCCGCCCUUGGCUGUUGUGAAACAUAGACCAGUCCCGAACACUCAAAUUGAUCACGGACUUGCCUAUAAAGUUUCUUGGCAAGAGUUGUUUUUCCUAGACCGGGCAUGCCAACUAUUGAAACAACUCCAUAAGGCAAAUCAUGAUCAAGUAAUUUGGCUUGCAGCUUAUUGAAGUCAUCAUCCAAACCGAUGACCUCUGUUUCAUCAGCAUGAAGGAAUAAUCUUCUUUGGUCCAAUGGAAUGCAAUCAUCACUAUUGUUGUUACUUGUAUCCAUGAUGUUGUAAGUUGUCCUUACACGAUCAAUGUCAGCAACUCUUCUUUUUAUCUUCUCAAUCUCCAUAGCAAACUCAUCCGCAAAAGAAACCGUCUUAAGGCAACAAAUGAAAUUAUUGGAUUGUUGAAUUUUUGGAAGAAACUCAUCUAAUAGAUCCUCCACAUCACCUGCCAGUUGUUGAAUAUCUUUUAAUAAGUUUUUGACCCUUGAAUGGCCUCCAACUUCCUUGGCCUUUGCAUCGUCUACAUAUGAUCGAAUGUGUCUCAUUUCUCUGUGGAGCCAAUCUAUGUCCUCUUUUAACCAAUAUAAACGCGUUCCUUCUUGAAAGAGUACAUUUCCAGCUAUUUCUAUUGAUUUAUUGAUGACUGCUGUGAGAAGAAUUUCAGCCAUCUCUUUUUUCCUUAAAUUUCUUUUUUCUAAAUGUGAGGAUUAGCAAGGGAAAGUAAGAGAAAA